GACGAACGCUGGCGGCGUGCCUAAUACAUGCAAGUAGAACGCUGAAGAGAGGAGCUUACUCUUCUUGGAUGAGUUGCGAACGGGUGAGUAACGCGUAGGUAACCUGCCUUGUAGCGGGGGAUAACUAUUGGAAACGAUAGCUAAUACCGCAUAACAAUGGAUGACACAUGUCAUUUAUUUGAAAGGGGCAAUUGCUCCACUACAAGAUGGACCUGCGUUGUAUUAGCUAGUAGGUGAGGUAAUGGCUCACCUAGGCGACGAUACAUAGCCGACCUGAGAGGGUGAUCGGCCACACUGGGACUGAGACACGGCCCAGACUCCUACGGGAGGCAGCAGUAGGGAAUCUUCGGCAAUGGGGGCAACCCUGACCGAGCAACGCCGCGUGAGUGAAGAAGGGUUUCGGAUCGUAAAGCCCGGUUGUAAGUCAAGAACGGGUGUGAGAGUGGAAAGUUCACACUGUGACGGUAGCUUACCAGAAAGAGACGGCUAACUACGUG
rnacentral:rRNA from 1 species